AGUACUCAGACUAUCUUCACAGGACCAUCCUCUACAUCAGCUGAGGCAUUGACAAGUACAACAGCAGCAACAACUGCAGGGAGCUCUACCGAAGCACUAACAACUGUGUCUACCACAAUAACAGUAUCAUUACUCACUACAAGAGCAGAAAUGACCUCUCCAUCUAUUCAAACCUCAACAAAUUUCCCUGUCACAAGCUCAGCAAUGACGGUGUCCACCAGUGAAGCAUUGACAACAAACACAACCCACUUCUUCACAGUUGAACCCCCCAUUGUGCCUAAAACUGACAAGCCAAUUCAAACUCAAACAAAAAAAUUUAAUGUAACAUUUACUGUGCUCUCACUGCCAUUCACACCAGUUCUACAAAAUCUCAC